rnacentral:rRNA from 1 species
GACGAACGCUGGCGGCGUGCUUAACACAUGCAAGUCGAACGGAAAGGCCCUGCUUGCAGGGUACUCGAGUGGCGAACGGGUGAGUAACACGUGGGUGAUCCGCCCUGCACUUCGGGAUAAGCUUGGGAAACUGGGUCUAAUACCGGAUAGGAACCAUCUUUAGUGUGGUGGUUGGAAAGUUUUUUCGGUGUAGGAUGAGCUCGCGGCCUAUCAGCUUGUUGGUGGGGUAAUGGCCUACCAAGGCGGCGACGGGUAGCCGGCCUGAGAGGGUGUACGGCCACAUUGGGACUGAGAUACGGCCCAGACUCCUACGGGAGGCAGCAGUGGGGAAUAUUGCACAAUGGGCGCAAGCCUGAUGCAGCGACGCCGCGUGGGGGAUGAAGGCCUUCGGGUUGUAAACUCCUUUCGCUAGGGACGAAGCUUUUUGUGACGGUACCUAGAUAAGAAGCACCGGCUAACUACGUG